rnacentral:tRNA from 1 species
GCCUGGGUGGCUUAGUUGGUUAAGCAUCCGACUUCAGCUCAGGUCAUGAUCUCGCGGUCCGUGGGUUCAAGCCCCACGUCAGGCU